rnacentral:rRNA from 1 species
GACGGAGGAUGCAAGCGUUAUCCGGAAUGAUUGGGCGUAAAGCGUCCGCAGGUGGCAGUUCAAGUCUGCUGUCAAAGACCGGGGCUCAACCUCGGAAAGGCAGUGGAAACUGAACAGCUAGAGUAUGGUAGGGGCAAAGGGAAUUCCUGGUGUAGCGGUGAAAUGCGUAGAGAUCGGGAGGAACAUCUGUGGCGAAGGCGGCCAUCUGGACCAGCACUGACACUGAGGCACGAAAGCGUGGGGAGCAAACAGG